rnacentral:tRNA from 1 species
GGGCCCGUGGCGUAGCCAGGAAGCGUGGCGGCCUCCGGAGCCGCAGGCCCCGGGUUCAAAUCCCGGCGGGCCCGCCA